UCCCGUCAGUUACGCCUUUUCAAAACCCCACCCCUUAAUCACGUAUCAUCUCUAUCAUUUCCUCCAUUCCAACCUUUCGACUUUCGACGCCGCUCAAUCGCCGUUCUUCGAAGCGCCAAUCCUCCAGCAAUUCAUCGUUGGUGUUGAAGCGACCACACUUUUGCGGUGACAUGAGUUCUGCGAGGCGAACGGGACAAGCGGCAGGAGAGUCUUCCGGAGGUGAGGUUUCCAGCUGAAAACCCUAGUUUUCAAGACCGCGAAACGUCUACGAAAAGGGAAAUCAGUAGACGAUGGGGAGUCGAGUGGGAAGAGGACAAGACUGGCAGGAAAGCCUUCAAUAGCUGUUGUUGGCGUCCCUGUACAAGUCAAGAGACCUCAAUUGAGGAUCAAGAGAACCACUGGUUUUUUCCAGCGCAUCCUGAAGUCUCUGAACGAAAGACAGAAAACUGCUGUUAGGCAGCUCGGCUUCGGUGGACUACUCUACUAUAAUGUGGCCUCUGUUUUGGGAACAUUAGCGUAUUGGCUAUUAGAGCAUUUUGACCACCUACGGUGCAGUCUUAUGCAUCCUAAUGGUGUAGAGGUAGUUGUUGACACGAAGGACGUCGAGCUUAUUUUUGGUUUCCCAAAUGGAUGGAUUACAAUUGAUCGAUGCGACAGAAACACAGGCAUCAAAUACAUGGAAACCAUUCCACUUGAUGAGGAGGCUGAUAUGAAUGUUAUGCAGACAAAGGUCCUAGAAACGAAGAUGCUACAAGAAACUGGGGGGGGACUUUUUAAGAAAAUAUUCCUGUUAUUACUGGAAACUGCUCUCAUUGAGACCUCCCCUUGUGGCUAUGUCAGACCCCGGAUUGUUGACAUUCUCGGAGAUUUGCAGAAGGUAAAGAAGCACAAUUGGUGUAGGUACUUGCUAGACAAUCUGUUGAGGACGCGCGAGCUGUGGAAGAAUAACAAAUCCAAGGUUUUCAGCGGGCCAGUAGUUUUCCUAGUGACCUUCUACGUCGAUCGAGUAGUGCAUCGUAGGAGAUGUGUGGCAUGUGUCAUUCCAAGAAUAAAGGGAUGGACAGUCGAACUGUUGAAAGAGAGAGAGGAAGAGGAAAUGAAAGAAGCUGAUUUUGAUCUUGGACAAGUGACUUCACAGUUGGAUGAGAAUGAAUGGGCGGUGCGGAAAUGACAACAGGAGUGCAACCGCCGGCUACUGAAGAUGUUGUUGAACCGCCGGCCACUGAAGAUGGUGAACCGCCAUCCACUGAUGAUGUUGUUGAAGAGAGAUAUUCUUCGGAUGAAGUGGUGUAUAUGAGGGGUGUUUGGGGGGCAACCAAACACAUAGGCGACGGUUUGAAGAUGCUGGCCAAGGAAUUAAAUCAAGCUCCUCCAGAAAUUAGGAAGAAGGACGGCUUUAGAAUAACGUGUGACACUCUCCGGAGGGCGUUUAGGUUGGAAGAAAAGGACUUUGACCCUGUGGAGUCAAUGACGCAGUCGCAGACUGCCAAUUAUAGUGCAGCGGAAGACUGGUCAGAGUCCUUGAAAUCUCUGUUGGACGCGGCUGAUGAAAUGGAAAUUCUAGAAAACAAAGACGAUUACCCAAGCUUCAGCCUUGGGUUCGAUUCCAGCCAGGAUUAUGACGCUUGUCAACCUGAAGCAGAACCUCAACCUGAGACAGACAAUACAGCACAUGAUGAAGAGGGUGAUGCGUCGGAGUACGAGUUAAGGGAGCCAGCUGACCUUUUUUAGUGGGGAUGACGUGGUAUCCCAGGACGGGGAGAGAGAGGACACUGCUGAUUUGGGAGGUUGUGGUCUGGAAUUGAUUGCUGUUAGUGACAUUGGAAAAGAGUUGGCCGUCAUAGAGCCUGUGGCUAGUGCUAUUGCGCGUGAUGUUGUGUCGGAGCACGGCGCCGUAGACGUAGCCGUUUGCUCUGCCGUGGAAGCAGUCCUGGAGCUAGGCGAUGUUGCUUUCGAAACACAAACAGAUACGGUGGAUGCUGAUGCAUGUAUAUUACCUUUACGUCGAGAUGCAAAGAUGACUCGUGAACAAAGCACGUAUGCUGAAAUACAACCUGCUCUAGCUAGGAGACUCAGUGCACGACCGCCCAUACUAGGGGUACUACAAACGAGGCGAUCGUGACCAAGGGACAACAAUAACGACGACAUACAAGGAUAACAGUUUAUGAAAGCUUAAUUAGCUUAAAGGAAUAAUAUUUUAGUUCAUUAAAAGUUUAGACAGUGAAUUUUUAGUUUAAAGAACUUAAUGUUUUUAUUUUUAAUUAGCAACGACGUAAGACAAAAUGAUUUUUCAAAAUAAGCAGCGGAGAAAAUAAAAAAACAAUUAACUUCCAAAAGAAAACAUUUGGGUUUAGUUCACGAGAAACCAUUUUAGAGAAACAAGGUAAACAUUAGAUUAAAGCCUAACACAAUUAAACAUGUUCAAACACAGUACAAAAUAGAAUAAGGUCUUGAGGCAUAGUUCAAAAAUAUAGCAGCGGAAAUAAGGUUUAAAGAGAGUCAAGGGUGACGUCUAUGUAUGAAGACACAACGCACCCAAAGUUCCUAGGCCAACUCAACAUCCA